CUACCGAGCAGAGUUGCUCACUGUGGGGUGCUGCCGGCUCCGCAGGUGCCCCACCUGCGCAGCUCGCGCCCCGCCCGCCACCUUCCCUGAGUGCUCUGAGCUGCAGGUUCUGCGCCCCGCUAGCCCCUCAGCCGCUCGCCCCUGGCUAUGGUCACUCACUCACUGUCCGGGACACCUUCAACUCCUUGUUGAGCCACUGGCACAGGAUCUCCGACAUGGUUCAGCAGGUGCCUCAGACCGCAGGCGGGUGCUAAGAAACUCGCCAGGAACCAAGCCCGCCCUCCCGCGUCCUCCUGUUGCCAAGGGCAACCCUUUGCUAAGGAAGCGUAUCCUGGCUGGAACUAGACGAAAGGCAUAGAGAAGAGGGGACGCCAGGGCUCAGCCGCAGACGACAGAAAAUCGUGUUCCGCCACCUGCUGGCGGAUAUUGCAUUUUUCACAAGUUGAAGGUUUGCGGCAAACCUGCACUGAGCAAAGUCUACAGAUGGAUCUCUUUUCAGAUUAAAUUCCCGCUAAGCUCACCAAAUAGUUUCUAUUAAAGACACCUGGGGAAUCUUCAAAGACCAGAUAUCAGGGUUCAGUUUGCCCUGUGACCUCAUUUUUCUGAUGGAUACAAGAAAAAUAAUUGGUUUUCAGUUUGUGCAGUGUUUCCCUUGUUGUAAGACUGGAAGUGACAUUGCCGAGAUUGUUACAUGUCAGAGGUAAAACCUGAAGUCCUAAAGUGAACUUUUAAUAAAAGAAAUAUGAUCAUA